GCCGGGGUGGCAGAACGGCUAAUGCGCCAGACUUGAGAUCUGGUGUCCGCAAAGGCGCGCCGCAGGGAUGCGGCCCACCGCGGAAGGACGUACAGGUUCGAAUCCUGUCCCCGGCG
rnacentral:tRNA from 1 species